UAUAGAGGUCUCAAGCGUUGUUCGGAUUCAUUGGGCGUAAAGGGGUGCGUAGGUGGCGCCCGUAAGUCGGGUGUGAAAUUUCGGAGCUUAACUCCGAAACUGCAUUCGAUACUGCGGUGCUUGAGGACUGGAGAGGAGACUGGAAUUCAUGGUGUAGCAGUGAAAUGCGUAGAGAUCAUGAGGAAGACCAGUGGCGAAGGCGGGCCUCUGGACAGUUCCUGACACUGAGGCACGAAGGCCAGGGGAGCAAACGGG
rnacentral:rRNA from 1 species